UACGGGGGGGGCAAGCGUUGUUCGGAAUUACUGGGCGUAAAGGGCUCGUAGGCGGCCAACUAAGUCAGACGUGAAAUCCCUCGGCUUAACCGGGGAACUGCAUCUGAUACUGGAUGGCUUGAGUUCGGGAGAGGGAUGCGGAAUUCCAGGUGUAGCGGUGAAAUGCGUAGAUAUCAGGAGGAACACCAAUUGCGAAGGCAGCUCGCUGGGACGUUACUGACGCUGAGACGCGAAAGCGUGGGGAGCAAACAGG
rnacentral:rRNA from 1 species